rnacentral:lncRNA from 13 species
CCAAUCCUUCUAAGAUGGAGCACCUUAGAAGCUUCUGACUCUGUCAAUAUAGCUACCUCAUUCAUAAUCUACUGUGCAAGCUCUAGGGUACUGAAGUGACCAGGACAGAUGCUGCUGAUGUGAGCUGGCCAAGUCAUUUUGUCCACUUGAUUAUUUAGUACCUCUGGUGGCAAAUGUCCUCUUGUGGUACUUAAAUUUAAUACAAAGAUUGUCACGCUUUGAAUUUUCCUGUAGAAUUUUAAAUCAAACAGCCAGUUUCUCCCUGAGUUAUCAGGCUCUUUCAUUCUUGCUGUUGGACAUUUUGAGAAAUCUUUUAGAAAAUCUAUAAUUUUUUUGGUGUGUGUGUGUGUAUGUAUAUGUAUAUGUGUGUGUGUAUAUAUAUAUGCCUUUAUCACACUAAGAAAUCACUUGUUUAGCUGAAGUUUAAAUUUAAUUGAUGGUUCUCUUUUUAUUGGCUAAAUCUGGCAAACCUACACGUCUUAAUGCCACUACUAAUUUUGGCUGAUUUUAUGCCCUAACACACCUCACAUUUAUUCUAAUUCUCUAGUUAUAUUUCAAAUUAUUUCACUAGUAGUGGUUUUCUAUGCUUUCAUACUCCUGUAACCCCAUCUGAUCUUAAUAUUCUCUCAGCCUGGAAUUCCUCUCCCCACUCACUUGUACAUAGAAGAAAAUCUCAUCCCUGAGAGCCGAGCUCAAAUGUUACACCUCUAGGAAACAUUCCUCAGGUCUGUCAAAUUUAAUUGGUUUUCCACUUUUUCUCCCAUAGCAAUAUUUACCUAUAGUAUAAUGUAUUUUAUCUGGCCUUAUAUUUGCAUUAGUUGUUUAUAUAUCAUUAUUUCCUACAAGAGUUUUAAGCUCUCCAUCCCUUUUUCCCUCUGUCACCUCAUAAAAACAAAGCACAGUAUCUUAGAUACAAGAGAUUGAAAGAGAUUUCCAAUGCCAACUGAAUUAGACUACAACAUGUCAAUCCAAUCCAGUGGCUGGCUAAUCACGAAACAUGCCCCAGCAGGUAAAAAAUAGAAUUGGUGGUGAAAACGACAGUGACAUUAGUUGUGUUUUGUCCUGUUUGGCAGAUGGGUUUGGAGUCAACCGAAAAUCCAGGGCAAGAGCCAUAGCCAAGAGCCAAUGUUACACAGCCACUUUGGAGAAUGUGAGGUGGUCUACUCCAUACUUCUGUGAGCACCAGGUCCCCAAGCUGAGACUUUAGUGCUAGCCUAGAAAACAAAAGUGGCACUUCUGCCUCUUGCAAAUUCCUGGAGUUUGAUGCUUCAGCCGCUUUUCAGAUGACACUAGUUAAAUAUGAAAUGAAUGAGUUCUGUUGAUAACAAACCACAGACCCCAGCACCAAAUUUGGAAGGGUAGAGAGAAAAUAAAAUGGUUUCUUUUCAUUCUGUGUAGUAAUGG